GACGAACGCUGGCGGCGUGCUUAACACAUGCAAGUCGAACGGAAAGGCCCUGCUUUUGUGGGGUGCUCGAGUGGCGAACGGGUGAGUAACACGUGAGUAACCUGCCCUUGACUUUGGGAUAACUUCAGGAAACUGGGGCUAAUACCGGAUAGGAGCUCCUGCUGCAUGGUGGGGGUUGGAAAGUUUCGGCGGUUGGGGAUGGACUCGCGGCUUAUCAGCUUGUUGGUGGGGUAGUGGCUUACCAAGGCUUUGACGGGUAGCCGGCCUGAGAGGGUGACCGGCCACAUUGGGACUGAGAUACGGCACAGACUCCUACGGGAGGCAGCAGUGGGGAAUAUUGCACAAUGGGCGGAAGCCUGACGCAGCAACGCCGCGUGCGGGAUGACGGCCUUCGGGUUGUAAACCGCUUUCGCCUGUGACGAAGCGUGAGUGACGGUAAUGGGUAAAGAAGCACCGGCUAACUACGUG
rnacentral:rRNA from 1 species